rnacentral:rRNA from 1 species
AGGAUGAACGCUGGCGGCGUGCUUAACACAUGCAAGUCGAACGAUGAUCCGGUGCUUGCACCGGGGAUUAGUGGCGAACGGGUGAGUAACACGUGAGUAACCUGCCCUGGACUUUGGGAUAACCCUCGGAAACGGGGCUAAUACCGGAUAUGACUUGGCCUCGCAUGGGGUUGGGUGGAAAGUUUUUCGGCUGGGAUGGGCUCGCGGCCUAUCAGCUUGUUGGUGGGUGAUGGCCUACCAAGGCGACG